rnacentral:lncRNA from 1 species
AUCUCGUGGGAGUCACCAAGCCCAAGGCUGGGCAGAUCUCCUGGGGACAGAACAAGAUUUUUCAGGUGACAGGCAUCUGUGUGUUUCCAUGGAUAGAUCACGUGACUGAGUCAAAUUUAGUCUUCACCUCAAAGGAGAAUCUGGUGACUUCCACACUCUGAUGACUAGUACUUCCCUGUGUCUCGUCCAAUAUAGAAGAUAUCAAUUUUUAUUCCUUGUCCUCCAAGUUUCCUUCAUGACAUGUAAUCUCCUUCCACCUGGGUCCCUCCAGUAUGAGACUCUUCACCCAGCAUUCAAACCCCCUUAUAUAGACUCUCUCUCUCUCUCUCUCUCUCUCUCUCUCUCUCUCUCUCUCUAACCUCUCUCUAUUAUUACCUACCACUCUAUUCUCAUCCUUGGUCAGACCCUGCCUUCUGAGGAGCUUUUCUGAUGAGGUCCUCUGUAAGUUGUACCCUGCUCUCUCUCCUCUUGUGGUCCUCUGCUCUAACUUCUGUCA